rnacentral:rRNA from 1 species
AAAUAGGGGAGGCGUAGCGAAAGCGAGUCCGAAUAGGGCGUUUAGUAGCACGGCGUAGACCCGAAACCGGAUGAUCUAUCCAUGGCCAGGAUGAAGGUGCCGUAACAGGUACUGGAGGUCCGAACCCACUAAUGUUGAAAAAUUAGGGGAUGAGCUGUGGAUAGGGGUGAAAGGCUAAACAAAUCCGGAAAUAGCUGGUUCUCCCCGAAAACUAUCUAGGUAGUGUGUCAUGUAUCACUUGCGGGGGUAAAGCACUGUUAUGGCUAGGGGGUCAUCGCGACUUACCAAACCAUGGCAAACUCUGAAUACCGCAAAGUGCGAGCAUGGCAGACAGACAGUGGGUGCUAACGUCCAUUGUCAAGAGGGAAACAACCCAGACCGCCAGCUAAGGUCCCCAAGACACAGUUAAGUGGGAAACGAAGUGGGAAGGCAUAGACAGCUAGGAGGUUGGCUUAGAAGCAGCCAUCCUUUAAAGAAAGCGUAAUAGCUCACUAGUCGAGUCGUCCUGCGCGGAAGAUGUAACGGGGCUCAAACUGUGCACCGAAGCUGCGGAUAUCGAAAGAUAUGGUAGGGGAGCGUUCUGUAGGUCUGUGAAGGUGUCUUGUAAAGGAUGCUGGAGAUACCAGAAGUGCGAAUGCUGACAUGAGUAGCGAUAAAGGGCGUGAAAAGCGCCCUCGCCGAAAGCCCAAGGUUUCCUACGCAACGUUCAUCGGCGUAGGGUGAGUCGGCUCCUAAGGCGAGGCAGAAAUGCGUAGUCGAUGGGAAACAGGUCAAUAUUCCUGUACCGGUUCUAGAUGCGAUGUGGGGACGGAGAAGGUUAGGUCAGCCGGGUGUUGGACGUCCCGGUUUAAGCGUGUAGGCGUGCCCCUUAGGCAAAUCCGGGGGGCUGAGCUGAGGCGUGAUGACGAGGAACCACGGUUCCGAAGUGAUUGAUACCAAGCUUCCAGGAAAAGCCACUAAGCUUCAGUCUAGAGUUGACCGUACCGCAAACCGACACAGGUGGGCAGGAUGAAAAUUCUAAGGCGCUUGAGAGAACUCAGGAGAAGGAACCCGGCAAAUUAACACCGUAACUUCGGGAGAAGGUGUGCCCCGGUAGCGUGCAGAGACUUGCUCUCGAAGCGCGAUGGGGUUGCAGUGAAAUGGUGGCUGCGACUGUUUAAUAAAAACACAGCACUCUGCAAACACGAAAGUGGACGUAUAGGGUGUGACGCCUGCCCGGUGCCGGAAGGUUAAGUGAUGGAGUGCAAGCUCUUGAUCGAAGCCCCGGUAAACGGCGGCCGUAACAAUAACGGUCCUAAGGUAGCGAAAUUCCUUGUCGGGUAAGUUCCGACCUGCACGAAUGGCGUAACGAUGGCCACACUGUCUCCUCCUGGGACUCAGCGAAGUUGAAAUGUUUGUGAAGAUGCAAUCUACCCGCGGCUAGACGGAAAGACCCCAUGAACCUUUACUGUAGCUUUGCAUUGGACUUUGAACCGGUUUGGU